AUUGGAUAUUUUGUGGGAAAAAUGUGAAAAUUUUCAGUUUAGAAAAUGGGACCCAAGAAGAAGCGAGCAAAAGUGAAGUAACGCAGCCUGAAAUAGCAGAGAGGAAGGAGGAGGAAGAAUUUGAUGAUUGUAGCAGCACUGGUAAGCCCUGCACAGACAGGGAGAAGUAUGCCUUCAAGCCGGCAGAAGGCACAGCACCCCGCCAGAGGGAUUUUCACAGCUAACGACGCCCAGAAGUGAAGACACUGCAAUCCAAUCAUCACUGUCAGACCAUUGUGCCAUGCUCAGUGAUGAGGAUGAGGACAAGGACAUCCUGACACCCCGUCCCACCACUCAGCAGGAGCAGGACAGCAGCUCAGAGUCAAAGUGUGUUUCAGUGCUCAAACUGUUGGGCUAUUUAGUUGGGAUUUUUUACAGUGUAAUAAAAUGUGUUAUUCCCUUAUA